rnacentral:rRNA from 1 species
GUAGGUGGCAAGCGUUGUCCGGAAUUAUUGGGCGUAAAGCGCGCGCAGGCGGUCCUUUAAGGUCUGAUGUGAAAGCCCACGGGCUCAACCGUGGAGGGUCAUUGGAAACUGGGGGACUUGAGUACAGAAGAGGAAAGCGGAAUUCCACGUGUAGCGGUGAAAUGCGUAGAGAUGUGGAGGAACACCAGUGGCGAAGGCGGCUUUCUGGUCUGUAACUGACGCUGAGGCGCGAAAGCGUGGGGAGCAAACAGGAUUAGAUACCCUGGUAGUCCACGCCGUAAACGAUGAGUGCUAAGUGUUAGGGGGUUUCCGCCCCUUAGUGCUGCAGCUAACGCAUUAAGCACUCCGCCUGGGGAGUACGGCCGCAAAGGCUG